CGCUGCUCGUGGUGUGCUGUGAAUUGAAUUGCCAUUAACCUCUGCACUGUUAACUGCUGCUCGUUUGUCUUAAUUACACACACAGGAGAUGAUGGUGCCUUACAGAACUGUACACUGUGGUGACAGAGCAUGGGGCUGAUGUGCAUUCCACCUGGCUUGAAACCAGAGGGAAAAGGUGAUUCCCUUCUGAAAUAAAAUCAAGCCCUUUAAAAGCAGAGGGGACUAGAAAGCUCUGAGAGUGACCAAGCUGUCUGGCUUUGGCAGAAAAUUUUGUCCUGAACCAAAGGAGAAACUUCAUCAAGAAUUUUAAUCAUCCCCACCAGCAGUGGAGCAUUUGCUGGAAAGAUGGUGCUCCAUAAGAACAUUAUGUGCUUUGUCAGGUCUUGGUUGUUUAAUUUUAACAUUUUAUUAUUCAGAUUCUCCCUUCUUCUGCCUUUAGGGUGAUGUACUGUGAAGGCUGCAUGAUAUGAAGAUGGAGGGAGAGAAACUUCUGUCUGACUGAAUAUGACAGAGAGUUUAAAUAUUCAUAGCAGGCUUGGAAUGGAGAUGUAUGACUGGGUAUGGCUCGUGCACAGGCAAAGCUGGUUCAAAAAACUCCAGAGACUGUACUGGUGCUGUGUGUGGCAGUCUCCUUACAUAAAGGCAUUCCUGAUGUGCUCCUUGUGUGAGGGGAGAGGAGCCAGGAGCUGAGAUGGCCUCAAGUGGGAUGUGCAUUCCCCAACAUGGUCCCCCAAGGACCAAGAAGAGGGACAGAUGAUUGUGGCACCAUGUUGCAGUCCCAAACACAGCAACAUCAACGAG
rnacentral:lncRNA from 1 species